rnacentral:rRNA from 1 species
CAGCAGCCACGGUAAUACAGAGGGUGCAAGCGUUAAUCGGAAUUACUGGGCGUAAAGCGCGCGUAGGUGGUUUGUUAAGUUGGAUGUGAAAUCCCCGGGCUCAACCUGGGAACUGCAUCCAAAACUGGCAGGCUAGAGUAGGGCAGAGGGUGGUGGAAUUUCCUGUGUAGCGGUGAAAUGCGUAGAUAUAGGAAGGAACACCAGUGGCGAAGGCGACCACCUGGGCUCAUACUGACACUGAGGUGCGAAAGCGUGGGGAGCAAACAGGAUUAGAUACCCCAGUAGUCCCUGUCUCUUAUAC